GCUUUGAGCCUCGGGUGCCUCAGCCACUGAGUGAGGAACAGGUCAGGUUCCAAAGCCACAAGGCUUCCCUCCUGCAAGGGUGCAAGGGGUCUCCUGCAAAAUCCCCCAAAAUCCCUUGGGGGGACAACCUGGUCUGUUAUGGCCUUAGCAGAAGGCACACUUCACCAGAAGCAAGAAUUCUGUCUCCUCCCUGAGCAGGACUUACUCAACAGGAGGGGUUUGCCCCGAACAGCUAGCUCCCCUCUGACACUGUGCACCAGCUCUUCUGUGGUACUUUCCCCACAUGGACAGACCUUUCCUUCGGUCUGAAGCUGUUGUGGGUUGAGGUGUCUUGAAGUCCCUCUCAUUCAAGGUGCAUGUACUGUGCUAACCUGGGGUUCUCUAUGCUGGGGGGCCGAGGGGAUGCUGAUCUUCACAGUAUGACUUCUGACGCCCUGGCCUGACCACAUGGCUGGCCCUGUCCCCUCUCCCCCGCACUGCCCAGUCUCUUCUAUCAUCCUGGAAGAGGGUUGAAGCAAGAAGCCAAAUGCGGGUGGUGCUGACCACAAGAAGCCUCUGGGGGUGGGGUGCAUAUGGAGGCCAUUCGGAAGGGGGUUAUAAUUUGUGCCUACAGAGUCCAAGGAUCAUGACCUCUUGUGGGACCUAAAAUCAUUCAGAAUCUAGCUGAUGAUCACAACUGACCCACCGCUCCAGGCUUGUGCCUCCUCACAGCAUCCACAGGUCCUGCGCCCAAUACAGCACUGCCGUCAUCGUGUGUUCUGGAAGGGCCGAGAAGUCCAUUCGGUGAGCCUGAAUAAAUGAACCUCAUGUUA